GUGCUCGUUGUGGCAGCACAUACAGUAAAAUUGGAACGAUACAGAGAAGAUUAGCAUGGCCCCUGCACAAAGAUGACACACAAAUUCGUGAAGCAUUCCAUAUUUUU
ensembl:snRNA U6 U6 spliceosomal RNA